rnacentral:rRNA from 1 species
CAGCCGCCGCGGGAAUACGUAGGUGGCAAGCGUUGUCCGGAAUUAUUGGGCGUAAAGGGCUCGCAGGCGGUUUCCUAGGCCUGAUGUGAAAGCCCCCUGCUCAACCGGGGAGGGUCAUUGGAAACUGGGAAACUUGAGUGCAGAAGAGGAGAGUGGAAUUCCACGUGUAGCGGUGAAAUGCGUAGAGAUGUGGAGGAACACCAGUGGCGAAGGCGACUCUCUGGUCUGUAACUGACGCUGAGGAGCGAAAGCGUGGGGAGCAAACAGGAUUAGAGACCCGUGUAGUCCCUGUCUCUUAUAC